rnacentral:rRNA from 1 species
UACAGAGGUCUCAAGCGUUAUUCGGAUUCAUUGGGCGUAAAGGGUGCGUAGGCGGCGCGGUAAGUCGGGUGUGAAAUCUUGGGGCUUAACUCCGAAACUGCAUUCGAUACUGCCGUGCUUGAGGACUGGAGAGGAGACUGGAAUUUACGGUGUAGCGGUGAAAUGCGUAGAUAUCGUAAGGAAGACCAGUGGCGAAGGCGGGUCUCUGGACAGUUCCUGACGCUGAGGCACGAAGGUCAGGGGAGCAAACGGG